AUUGAACGCUGGCGGCAGGCCUAACACAUGCAAGUCGAACGGUAACAGGAAGCAGCUUGCUGCUUCGCUGACGAGUGGCGGACGGGUGAGUAAUGUCUGGGAAGCUGCCUGAUGGAGGGGGAUAACUACUGGAAACGGUAGCUAAUACCGCAUAAUGUCGCAAGACCAAAGAGGGGGACCUUCGGGCCUCUUGCCAUCGGAUGUGCCCAGAUGGGAUUAGCUUGUUGGUGGGGUAACGGCUCACCAAGGCGACGAUCCCUAGCUGGUCUGAGAGGAUGACCAGCCACACUGGAACUGAGACACGGUCCAGACUCCUACGGGAGGCAGCAGUGGGGAAUAUUGCACAAUGGGCGCAAGCCUGAUGCAGCCAUGCCGCGUGUAUGAAGAAGGCCUUCGGGUUGUAAAGUACUUUCAGCGGGGAGGAAGGGAGUAAAGUUAAUACCUUUGCUCAUUGACGUUACCCGAAGAAGAAGCACCGGCUAACUCCGUG
rnacentral:rRNA from 1 species